rnacentral:tRNA from 1 species
GCCGGAUGUACUAGUGACCGGGUGUCACCCUUCCAAGGUGAAGACGCGGGUUUGAUUCCCGCCAUCGGCU